CCGAAAGGCGUAGUCGAUGGGAAUGCAGUUAAUAUUCUGCAGCCUGGUGGUAGUGACGGAUCUCGUAAAUUGUACAUCCUUAUUGGAUUGGGUGUGCAGUGAAGAGGUUCCAGGAAAUAGCUCCACCGUAUAGACCGUACCCCAAACCGACACAGGUGGUCAGGUAGAGAAUACCAAGGCGCUUGAGAGAACUCGGGUGAAGGAACUAGGCAAAAUGGUACCGUAACUUCGGGAGAAGGUACGCUGUUGCCGGUGAUGGGACUUGCUCCCUAAGCUGAGGCCGGUCGAAGAUACCAGGUGGCUGCGACUGUUUAGCAAAAACACAGCACUGUGCAAACACGAAAGUGGACGUAUACGGUGUGACACCUGCCCGGUGCCGGAAGGUUAAUUGAUGGGGUUAGCGUAA
rnacentral:rRNA from 1 species